UACAUUUGGCUGUAGCUCCGAAAAUAGCCAUAGGAUUUUUUCAAAAAUAAUCUCAUUGUGAUUCCCACAAAAAGUUACCUUCUAUGGCUUAACGUAACCUAACCCAACCUAACCUAACCUAAACUAACUUUUAAAGUGAUACGCUCAAGAGUGAUUAUAUUUUCUCUGCAACAUGCUAUAAGUCAAAACUAUAGAAUAGUAGAAUGUUUUUUUGUAUGCUGGUGAAAUAGGAUGGCAUAACAUAUAGUAUUAUAUCACCUAGAUGCUUGAUUUGGACGAACUUCAUCCAAAUUCAGGAAUUGAGGCAAAAAACCUCACGACAACUAAAUUCAAGCUAUUGUGUGUGCAGCAGGCAUUUCUCCACCAAAAAAUACCUUCAUCCAGCUUCUGAUAAACUUUGCCAUAAUGCCUGCCCAGAUCAACAUGUAGAAGGUUCUACUAGCUGCACCAGAUCAGAUGUUGACCCUAUAAAGACAAAUACAUCAAUAGAUUUACACCACCAAGCAAAUUAUACAUCAAAUUGGUUGGUGACUUAUCCACACGAGAAUUUGC